GUUCUCGUAGUUGAAGGACAACGGUG
rnacentral:tRNA from 1 species